GAGUGCCUACGGGGGGCAGCAGUGGGGAAUAUUGCACAAUGGGGGAAACCCUGAUGCAGCAACGCCGCGUGAGUGAAGAAGUAUUUCGGUAUGUAAAGCUCUAUCAGCAGGGAAGAAGAUGACGGUACCUGAGUAAGAAGCCCCGGCUAACUACGUGCCAGCAGCCGCGGUAAUACGUAGGGGGCAAGCGUUAUCCGGAUUUACUGGGUGUAAAGGGAGCGUAGACGGUAUG
rnacentral:rRNA from 1 species